rnacentral:rRNA from 1 species
GAUGAACGCUGACAGAAUGCUUAACACAUGCAAGUCGAUUCGAUUUACCUUCGGGUAUUGAGGAUGGCGGACGGGUGAGUAACGCGUAAGGAACUUGCCUCUUGGUCUGGGACAACUGUUGGAAACGACAGCUAAUACCGGAUAUUAUGAGAUUCUCGCAUGGGAAACUUAUGAAAGCUAUAUGCGCCAAGAGAGAGCCUUGCGUUCCAUUAGCUAGUUGGUGGGGUAACGGCCCACCAAGGCGACGAUGGAUAGCCGGCCUGAGAGGGUGAACGGCCACAAGGGGACUGAGACACGGCCCUUACUCCUACGGGAGGCAGCAGUGGGGAAUAUUGGACAAUGGACCAAAAGUCUGAUCCAGCAAUUCUGUGUGCACGAUGAAGGUCUUCGGAUUGUAGAGUGCUUUCAGUUGGGAAGAAGCAAGUGACGGUACCAACAGAAGAAGCGACGGCUAAAUACGUGCCAGCAGCCGCGGUAAUACGUAUGUCGCAAGCGUUAUCCGGAUUUAUUGGGCGUAAAGCGCGUCUAGGCGGAAAAAUAAGUCUGAUGUUAAAAUGCGGGGCUCAACUCCGUAUUGCGUUGGAAACUGUUUUUCUAGAGUACUGGAGAGGUGGGCGGAACUACAAGUGUAGAGGUGAAAUUCNUA